GAGAUUGUUUUAGAAUCUAGGAUUUGCUUAGGAUUUUCUUAGGAUUUGGUCUAAGAUUUGAUUAGGAUUUUAUUAAGAUUUAAUUAGAAUUUAUUUAGGAUUUGAUUAAGAUUUAUUUAGAAUUUGAUUAAGAUUAAUUUAGGAUUUGAUUAGAAUUUGAUUCAAGAUUAAGAUUAAAGAUUUGAUUUGGAUUUUAUUAGAAUUUGUGUAGGAUUUCAUUGAAAUUUGUUUGAAAUUUAAUUAGGAUUGAUUUGGAUUUAUGAUUUCAUUAGGAUUGGUCUAAGAUAAAGAUUUAGGAUUUUAUUAAGAUUGGUCUAAAAUUAGGAUUUAGUAUUUUAUUAAGAUUUGGUUUAAAGUUUGAUUAGGAUUUAUUUAGGAUUUUAUUAAGGAUUUUUUAGGGAUAUAUUAUAAU
rnacentral:lncRNA from 1 species